CUCCAGCUCUCAGUAAGGAGCCCUCCAGCAGCCAUUGCUGUGUCUCUCCAGCCUUUCUGAGGGCUCUCGUCGCGCUCCCAGGCUGGAGGGACCCACACCAAGCUCCUCCCGCCUCUGGAAGCUGGCGUCUCUGAGUGCCGCGCCUGGGUAACCUGUAGGUCAAAGACAGCCUCCUGGAGCUUCUGAGGGAGCACUGCCCUCUGAGAAAUUGUAGUCACAUGGUUUAGCAGCCAUUUGUGGAAAGUGGAAACAGCACGAAGAACUUGACUCUGGAGAAGCCUGGGUGCAUCCAUGUCCCAUGCUGGGCGAUGCUCAAGGAGCAGUGGAGGGCAAAGGACCCAGCGACUCCCCCAGGGUUUUGCACAUCACCCUGCCAUGAGGAUUAGCUCCUAACAUCAGCUCCUGCACUAUUUCUCCAAUGGAUGAGGGUGCUGGAUUUGGGCAAUAUUGUUACCUAAGCUUCCUACUGACUAAUGUCAUGUGAGAAGGGUCUAUGGGACAAGAACUUAGAAGCUGGAAAUUAAGAGUAAGUUCCCUCUCUCAGUGUUUUCAACCAUUUGGUGGUAAAUACAGAGGGUCUUUCAUUCAAGAAAUCUCAUGUCAGAUAUUUUAUUUGUGCAUUCUUUGGGUGAGAUGGUCAGACCCUUAAAUUAUCCAUAGAUAAAAACAUCACCAACAUGAGCCACAAAUUAAAAAUUUUCUAGUUAGUGCAUUAAAAAGUAAAGAGAACUAGCUAAAUUAGUUUUACUACUAUCAUUAUUUAAUCCAAGGUGUCUAAAAUAUAAUCAUAUAACAUUGAAUCAAUAUAAAUGUUUUUGAAUUAUUUCACUUUUGUUAUACUUAGUCUUCAAAGUUUGGUUUAUAUUUUAGCCCUACAGUCCAUCUCAGCUUGGACCUUUUCAAUAGCUCCUUUUCAAGUGUUUCAAGUGCUCAAAAACCACUUGGAACCAGUGGCACUGGUAUGGAUCAGCACUGCUUAUCCUCCACAUGUUUCAGAACCUUUGAAGAGGAGGCCCUUUGAGAGGGUCCCUUUGACUGGAUUGCACACAGAUUCUGUGUCAGCCUGAGAACUCACCUGUCUUUGGCCUCAUCCCCUUAUCUGUGGUGGGAGCACUGAGGGGAAACCAGUAGAGGCCAGGGGGCUGAAGGCCAGGAGUGGGUUUUUUCUACUUUCAUGCCAUAAGGAAACCGAAGGGACCAAAAGUUAGUGAACAUGUCCAAGGCCUGGCAGGAAGGAGAAGAGGCCUUUUUGUGUGGGGUCUGGAUUGGUCCCCAGGGCUGUGCCGCUCCAGGUCGCCUAGUAGUACAUACCUUCAUCACCCUUUUCUACCUUCCACACCAACAGAGAACAGCUACUGCCAUUCCUGGUGUUCACAGUUGUGAUUCUACCUGAUUUCAAGAUUUUGAAUCCCAUUGCACAACCCUGCUGAACAUAGCCAUCCAGAGAAGUCUCUGGGGGCGCUGGUCCUCCUCCUGCUGGUACCUCCAGGAGGUAGCUGACCUGGCUGUGGACCAAGCACUGCAGAAAGACAGAGUUUUCCUUGUGUGCCAGGACCUGGGUCGCUUGCUCCAGCAUGAUGAGUGGCUGCCCCGCUUUGAAGGAGAAAACUGUGAGGCAGAGGCAACCCCAAGCCUGGAAGCCUCUGCAGAUGUCACUCUGCAAGAAGGUGGGAGACUUACCUAGAAACAAGAGGACCCAGAGGAGGGUGAGGAGGCCUGACAUGACUCUUGCUCCUGACAGAAGCUCAGGGUGACCUCUGGUCUCAAACUGCUGCCAAAAGCCACAGCUUGGUGAGUGGUUGAGGCCAGGUGGGGCCUGAGCCAAUUCCUGUCUUGUGCAAGGAUGUCAUUAAUAAGAGAAGUAGGAGAGGGAGGAAGAGGCUCUAGAGAGAGGAUAUACACAAAUCUAAUUGCAAGAUGAAGGGAAAGGGGAUGAAUAGUUUGAGUUCUGAGAAAUCAACUUUAAAAAUGUUGCUGGAGUCAUACUUGCCCGAAGAGGAAAUGUGGUGGGACGCUUCCUGUACUCUCAAACUCCCUUGAUGUGCAGGGGCCUGGAGCAGUGGCAUGAUUGACUUGUUACCUGAGUUAUAUUAGAUCCUAAAAGUAACCUAAUGAAAUAAACAGUAUUAUUCUCAGCUUUUGAAAUGUGGAAAUCAAGGCAGAAACUCAUUAAAGUCUGAACAGGUCUGGAGAACCAGGGUGGUCACAUGGUGCGAGGUAUGGCAGUAGACCUCUCUAAGGCCUCAUUUAGAAACUCUAUAGUAAUGGAGACAUAAGUAUGCUGUUUGCUUUGAGAAAAGGACAAGCACUGGAAAGUAAUUUCUGCCCAAAGUGCCUGCUCCCUAUGUGAGCUAUCAUUGGAAUUUGUCACUCACAGGUCCUGUUGCAGAUUUUCAGUGCUCCGAAAUUCAGCAGGAAAGUUGUGUGGUCUUGGGCAAGUUGUUUUGCUUCCUUUCUACUCUCGUCUAAUUUUCACCUGUAACUGAUCAACCCCAAGUGACCUUGUGUUCCUAGUCAACAGAUUGAAUGUGCCUCCACAGGCCCUAGGAGAGCUGAGAGAAUGAUGCUGUCAGCCAGGAUUCUUGGCCAAGGAUGAGCGAUAGCAGUUGGGAGUUUGGUCUUAGGAGUCAUUUGGGGGCAGUGCAUAGCUGUUAAGGGGAUUGACGAGGAUGGUAGUUGGGCUUCAGACUCAUGAUUUCCCUUUGUUCAGAGUACAGUGAGUUCAUGGCAGGAAGUGAGAUGGGGAUUUGUCUAGGUGGUAUACCAGAAAGAGAGCACAAUUUUGAGUGUACACAAGGACCAAUCUAAAUCACUGUGCUAGUCAAAUAGGCACAGGAAUACAAAGCAGAGUCACUUUCUUCCAGAUUUCUUACUGUAAAUUUACAUCUCCCAUCUGCACCUUUAUAAACAACAUAUUUCCCUGAUGGGAUUCCAGAGUCCUCCACAACCUUGCAACUUAAAAAAUUAUAGUAGAGAAGGCGUUGUGGGGCCUUUGCCUCCUUGAAUUGGUACCAGUGGAUGUCCUUAUUUGUGAUUUGUAAGUCACAAGUGAUUGCCAGAAGUGACCCAGGUAAACGUGUGACUGACAUCAUUCUCCUUUCCAAACUGGAAGAUGUUUGACUGCCUGGAAUGGUAACAACAAUAAUAAUUAACAGCAACGAUGUAAUGGAAUUCUUUGUUAUGGCCUUUUUUGGAGAAAACAACAUCAUAUGAGCAUCUGUGCCACAUACUUACCAGGAGGCAGGGUGGCUAAAAGUAGGGCUAGAGCCCACAGCAUGCCUUCUUCCCUGGGGCUUACAAAGAAAAGGACCAGAUUAUAAAAAGAGAAUAAACACCUCUCAAAACUCAAAUCCUGCUCAAAAUGGAAGGGAUCCCUCCAACAGUGACUGAAACCUGAUCCUCCUGACUGCAUCAGAAGCAGGGAGAAGUAACUGAGGAAGUGCCUGAGAAGACUAUCCAGCUGUUUACCCACAGAGUGGUGCUGGGAGGAGCCUCUGCCUCUGUGCUUCUGCCCACUUCUUUAGUGCCCCCAUAUGGCCACUGAGAGCAGGUCCUCUGCAGAGAAGGAGAAGCCAGGAGCCUAGAGAACUCAGAGCUAAAGCAGGUUGAACACAAAUGUGGGAAGCAGAGCCCUGGAUGAAAUUUGUCUGCCUUGUGGAAACAUGAAAAUCCCCCAGAAAUUCAGUUUUCAGGUUGAUGGUACUGCCUUGGUCUUGUCCUGAGAUGAAACUUCUUCAUCAUGUUCCUGAACCACCUUCACUUACAUUUGUAAAUAGAUGUUGGGAACAAUCAUCAACUGUAAAUCUGAUAAGCUUUGAGUCCAUUUUAUUAAAAAAAACUUGGAUCAAUUA